rnacentral:rRNA from 1 species
ACGGGUGAGUAACGCGUGGGAACAUACCUUUUGGUUCGGAACAACACAGGGAAACUUGUGCUAAUACCGGAUAAGCCCUUACGGGGAAAGAUUUAUCGCCGAAAGAUUGGCCCGCGUCUGAUUAGCUAGUUGGUGAGGUAACGGCUCACCAAGGCGACGAUCAGUAGCUGGUCUGAGAGGAUGAUCAGCCACAUUGGGACUGAGACACGGCCCAAACUCCUACGGGAGGCAGCAGUGGGGAAUAUUGGACAAUGGGCGCAAGCCUGAUCCAGCCAUGCCGCGUGAGUGAUGAAGGCCCUAGGGUUGUAAAGCUCUUUUGUGCGGGAAGAUAAUGACGGUACCGCAAGAAUAAGCCCCGGCUAACUUCGUGCCAGCAGCCGCGGUAAUACGAAGGGGGCUAGCGUUGCUCGGAAUCACUGGGCGUAAAGGGUGCGUAGGCGGGUCUUUAAGUCAGGGGUGAAAUCCUGGAGCUCAACUCCAGAACUGCCUUCGAUACUGAAGAUCUUGAGUUCGGGAGAGGUGAGUGGAACUGCGAGUGUAGAGGUGAAAUUCGUAGA